rnacentral:tRNA from 1 species
GCCUGGGUAGCUCAGUCGGUUGAGCAUCCGACUUCGGCUCAGGUCAUGAUCUCACAGUUUGUGGGUUCGAACCCUGCAUCAGGCU